CAGCACCUCAAGUGGUCAGGAUGAUUAUUGGGCCUAAAGCAUCCGUAGCCGGCGCUGUAAGUUUUCGGUUAAAUCUGUACGCUCAACGUACAGGCUGCCGGGAAUACUGCAGCGCUAGGGAGUGGGAGAGGUAGACGGUACUCGGUAGGAAGGGGUAAAAUCCUUUGAUCUAUUGAUGACCACCUGUGGCGAAGGCGGUCUACCAGAACACGUCCGACGGUGAGGGAUGAAAGCUGGGGGAGCAAAACGGAUUAGAUACCCGCGUAGUCC
rnacentral:rRNA from 1 species